GAUGAACGCUGGCGGCGUGCCUAAUACAUGCAAGUCGAGCGAACGGACGAGAAGCUUGCUUCUCUGAUGUUAGCGGCGGACGGGUGAGUAACACGUGGAUAACCUACCUAUAAGACUGGGAUAACUUCGGGAAACCGUAGCUAAUACCGGAUAAUAUUUUGAUCCGCAUGGUUCAAAAGUGAAAGACGGUCUUGCUGUCACUUAUAGAUGGAUCCGCGCUGCAUUAGCUAGUUGGUAAGGUAACGGCUUACCAAGGCAACGAUGCAUAGCCGACCUGAGAGGGUGAUCGGCCACACUGGAACUGAGACACGGUCCAGACUCCUACGGGAGGCAGCAGUAGGGAAUCUUCCGCAAUGGGCGAAAGCCUGACGGAGCAACGCCGCGUGAGUGAUGAAGGUCUUCGGAUCGUAAAACUCUGUUAUCAGGGAAGAACAUAUGUGUAAGUAACUGUGCACAUCUUGACGGUACCUAAUCAGAAAGCCACGGCUAACUACGUG
rnacentral:rRNA from 1 species